GUUCUUUUUUACGUUUCUGAACAAAUAAAUCUACUUCAAUGUAUAGAAAGGCUUUAGAAUACUAUUGGCGAUGCUAAGACAUAGCUUGUACUGUAAUGUGCAGUCUGUUUUGUUAAAGGUACAGUAAUGUACUUAGUAACUAAAUAUGCAGACACCUCCCUGCACAUGAGAAGAGUAGGAUAAAAUUCAGUGACAGGGAACUAAAGGAACUGUUAUGCUGAGCUGUGCCGUUCAGAUGCUUCAGUCAGUUUUUCUGUUCUCAUGAGAACAGCUGAUUUGGCAAUACAAGGGCAAAGAAUACCAAAAUGGCUAGAAGACCAGGCAUUGGCAGUUCCAUUGGUGAUAUAGUAGGAAUGAGGAUCUAUGUAGGAAUGAUGAGAUUUUAAAGUGCUUGUAAUACAGUUCAUGGGCAGCACUUAGCUGGUCAUGGCUGUCUGCUAGUGACCUCACAGUAGCAAUUUAACACAUGGCCCUUUGCUUAUGUCUAUUUCAGAGGCUCUUUGAAGUCAGGCAGUUAUACCACAACUAUCAUUUUUUGAUGUUUUGUUUCUGAAUGGAUGUAGUUAAACACAGAUCACAUUUAGACUCUUCUGCAAUGUUCUGUAGCACGCAUCCCAAGCCAAUAUUCUAUAAAUCAAUGGCAUUUCAAGUUUUUACUACUUCAUACAAAGUCAAUCUUCACUCAGUCUUUCCCAUUCUUUUAAAUCCUCUCAUUCACUCUUUCAUUGAUUGCUCUACCUUACAGACAGAUGAAAGUUGACUUUAAGAUUUUAUGAGGUAAUUUGAUCUUCAUUUUUUACUUUAUUUUAUAAUCCCAUUCACCUUGGCUUAUACCCACUCUUUCUGCUGUAUAUUGAAAAUUGUGAGCCCUUGAUGCUAACAGUUAAUGAUUCAUUCUAGAGCAAGGUGCAAAAUGCUCUUGUUUUGGUUUUGUUGGUGGUAGAUAUGGUUGACUAGUUAGCAUGUUGGUUAGUAAAUUGGUAAUUUUGUGGGUUUUUUUUUCCUCUGUUUAAAAACUUUCAACCUCACACUUCAUAGAUAUAUAUAGUUUCUCUUUAUAUACCAAAACUAUUUUCUGUGUGAUAUGUAAAACAGAGUUAAAGCUCAACCAAGGCCUCAAAGCCUAUUUAUCACAAAGCAGAACUCUUUCUGCCUAAUCAUUAGAGUGUUCUGAGUGACGCCUGACCAAGAGAUCAAAUUAGCUAAGCCUUGAUUCUCGGACAUUCCCAAGUGUUCCUACAAAACCUUGUAUAGUCUCUUCUUUUCUAUGCCUAAUAAGAGAUUCAUGUUUAAUACAGAAAACAUCUGGCUCAGGUCCUCAGGUUUUGGUAGGAAGAUCUCCACGAAACUGAUAAACAUAUGAGACAAACAGUGCCAGGGCUGUGCACAGCGAAGGUCCCAGAAGCUUCCUCACCAAAUAUUUUUUUGAGAGCAGAGGUAUCUCCUGGAUAUUUAACUUUCUUAAAUGUAAAUGUGGGUACGCAGCUUAUUCUUCUCUAAUAGAUGUUUUAGGGUAUGUACAUGGAGAGUCAAGUUUGCUGCAAACUCCUGGUUCAAAUAUUACCUGGAACUUCAUAAAACCUUAUCAGUAUUCUUCACAUAGGAAAAACAUUACCCGCAAUAGGAAUAAAUUUGGAACAUAUUCUAACCAAAGCCAAAGCAUAGUUAAGCAUUUUAAUAAUGCUAAAUUUGAGAUGUUGUACAGAUGAGAUAUUUUCCAUACAAAUAAAGAACAAAGUGUAUAAAACCCCAGGACUUGCGCUGAGUUAGAAGCACAAUGCAGCUGUCAUUUUUGCAUUUCCUGCUUUUCAUGAAACAUUACUAGUGAUCCUCUGUCAUUUAAAUCAGCUGAGACUGUGGAUUUAUCUUAAUUUUCACCCUUUGUUUCCCCUUUUUGUGAUAGCAGUUAUGAGAUAUGAUGAUGUAAAGUGUUUCUGCUUAUAAAGGGUUCAGCCCUGUCCCUUGGCAGACUAAAUCUUCUGGCUAAUUCACUGAUCAGUUAAAUAGUCGAAGUUAUUAUUAUUAUAAUUAUUAUUUUACAUUUAUAUAGCACUUUUCUCCAAGGGUUUUAAGGCAUUUUACACACAGCAAAUUACCAAAUAGAAAUUAAUCCUUAUAUCAUCCUGAGGGGUAGGUACACUCACAUUAAUGAAAUUCUACAAAAGUCCCCUUGUGUCACAGCUCUACCCCAAUGCCCAGUGAACCUGCCCUUCCUUUACAAAAAUAAAAUAGAAUGCCCAUGGCAUUUCAGGGAAAGACUAACAGGAGAUCGUUGGGAAAACAGUCCUGUGUCCUGACUUUGGCAUUCUGAGCUUCCUGGACAAUAAACUAUUGGGAGCAACCAGACAUGUAGGGGUAUUGACAGAGGUCACCCACCUAGGUAGUUUCAUUUAAUUCUUCAAAGAACAAGUUAGGAUGUGAUCUUAAAAGUAUUUGAUUACAUACAAACCACAUGGGAGAACAUUUAAAAUGAGAUCCCAAGACUUUCUCACUCACAGAGAUUCCCAUUUAAUUGCUACAGAAAGAGCAAAGAGCGGUGAUUUUUGAAGCCAGUGGUACUUUGAGAAAUGUGUCAUGACUCAGGAAGAAAUGUUACUACCUAAUGUAUAUAUCAGAAAAUGAUGGCUUAAGUAAGUAACAUGUCACAAUAUUUGGCAGAGUCAAGACUAGAUGCCAAUUUGGCAAAUUCCCAAAUCUGUACUUUUUAUUAUUGUAAUACUUACAGUACUUCCAGGAAAGGGUAAGUUUAGAAACAAGUGUAACGAGGAGUUGUAGUCUAUGAACUGGCAUAGACUGGCUCUUGCGAACCUCAGAUUCAUUUGGAAGCCGAGGCCUGGAGCACCAUCAGCUGUCCUGCAGAGCUGACCUGCACUUUGCCAUGUGCUUCUUUGUCUCAGGGCUAUCUUGAACCCUCAAAGCAGCUGCUCCAUCAGCUGACUACAACUCAGGAAGGACCCAAAAAUUACAGAAUGUUGAAUCAUUUACCCUGUCCAGGGAGUGUAUCAUCUGCUUAAUAGGUGUCACCAGGAAAAAUUUUUAAUAAAACUCUUGUUAUGAGAUCAGAUUGGCUUUACUUGUUUUGUAGGCAGACUUACUCUGAGAAGGGGGAGAGGAUAUAAAGAUUUCCACUAUUAUUUAAUAUUCAAUUUAGGACAAUUUCAUUUUUUAAUUUCUUGACUUAAUUUUUAUUAUUUUUUCCUUCAAAGACUGGAGCAAGCUAUGGUAAGAGGAAGUACACUCAGACAGUAGAUCCAGUGUUCUACUUGCCCAGAAGUUUCUGCAUUCCAUAGUGGAGUUUAGAGAUGCUUAUGGAAUGAAGUUAGACUUUUCAGAAAUGAGAAACACCGAGAGUGUGAUAAGGAGUCUCACAGUCCAUAUAAACUUGCUUAAAUUCUUUUCAUUGGGUACUAAAGUCAAUCGGAUUGACAGGAUUUGUUUUUUAGUCAAAAGCAUGUAUCACUUAGCUAUGGAUAAUAAUUAUUGUCGUCCUCGUGAAUUUUUUUUAGUCUCACUAACAUACCGUCUAUUCCUGGAAGUUGGUUUCUGCAUCUAAAAUUCUCUUCUCUGUUGGUGUAUAUGGAUAUGUUCAUGUUUGUGUGCACCAGUGUGCCAGUGUGUGUUCAUGCAUAUGAAGAACAGGGGUCCCCAUCUUGUGUCAUAGCUUCUGUAGUAGUCAGAGUUCUCUAGAGUCACAGAACUUAUGGGUAGGUAGUAUCUAUAUAGUAAAGGAAUUUGUUGUUGACUUACAGUCUGCAGUCCAACUUCCAACAAUGGUAGGCACCUGCUGUGAAUGCAAGUCCAAGGAUCUAGCAGUUGCUCAGUCCAUACAGCAAGCAGUCGAGGAGAGAGAGAAUCUUCCUUCUUCCAAAGUCCUUAUGUAGGUCUCCAGCAGAAGGUGUAGCCCAGAUUAAAGGUCUGUACCACCAGACCUUUAAUCCCAGGUGACCUUGAUCUCAGAGAUCUCCCUGUCUUAAUCUUCUAGAAUUCAUAGCCACUAUGCCUCAAGAUCUCCAUACCAAGAUCCAGGUCAGAAACUUGUAUCUCCCAGCCUCUAGAUUAGGGUCACUGGUGAGCCUUCCAAUUCUGGAUUGUAGUUCAUUCCCUAUAUAGUCAAGUUGACAACCAGGAAUAGCCACUACAGCUUCCAAGGCAGGCACUCCUGUCUCCACCUUCCUAGAACUAGGGUUACAGACCCGUUUGUCUUUUUUAAAGAAAUAAAGUAAAAUAAAACAUGAGCACUUGAGAUGUGAACUAAGUCCUCAGGGUUGCACUGUGCAGUCCUUAACCUGCAAAAAAUAUAGUCCUAGAACCCUUCUUUUUAAAUACUGUGGCUAUACUCAGUCACUGAAAGAACAAACUUUAUUUAGACUUUCAUAACCCAGGCAGUGUAGCAAAGUAGCAUUUCUUUAUUGGCAGAAGCAGGUAACCGUAGCAAAUGAAGAUGUAUUCAGAGACGGUAAACCGCACGCUCCUUAGGACAGUGCAGUUUGUUCCUUGGCUUUUCAGGCUUGCUCUCUUCAAUAUCAGUUUAUUGUCCAGCGUGGAUCGAGAUUUCUCUGUAACUAUAUAGACUACCGCUUUAAGAAAACAGCAUAAAAACUCUGAUUACGAAAUUAAGCACAGAGCUUUGGAAUAAGCCAGGCAAGUGAAGGGCCCUGGAGUUUAAUCCCUUAAAUUCACAGUCAAUCUACCUCUGAAUAUCCCCAUUUUGGGCUUUACAAAGGUACUCUUAGUAAAUAUUACUGUUUCAUAUAAUAACAAGAUUAGUUAAGGAUAAUGUCCUACUUUAUGUGUGUAGUCUUUAGGCUAAAAAUAACAAAACACUGUAAAAAUAAUGUGAACCUACUUACCAACAAUUUAGCGGAUUCCAUGUAGUAUUCAUCUUUGUUUAUUCAGGCUAACUCCAGCAUAAUAACGGUCAAUAAAUACCAUUAGAGGAGACAGCUCUUUAUGGAGCCUGGUAUUUUGAGCAGUACUUGAGACAAUAAAAUACAGGUCAGCAAGAAAUGUCAACAGUUCCUUUAAAUUCUUUGUAAUGGGAUUACAACUGUAUUGUAGAACUAAUAAAGAAACUAGCAUAGAUUGGGUUUGUCCCAUUGUCUUUCUCAGAGUUGUAAAAGAUAUAAGAGACACAGAUAUUUCACAGCCUUUGGCCUCUACCACCCAUUUCUACACUUAAUUAUUUCAUCUCUUCCUAUUCUAGAACAAGUUAUAAACAUUUAGAUUUUUAAAGAGAUCUUUCAAAGUGCCAUGGUACUGUUGCUGCUUUCUAAUUGUUUGUUUUUCCCGUUAGUUUUUCCUGUUAACCCUCUCCCUGUGACUUACUCUAAAAAUAAUAUUUAGUGGUGGUCUCCUGGUAGAAGACACUUAACAUUUACAAUUGAAAUGUUAAGAGAUCUAAAACUAUUUCCUGUUUCUGUGAUUUAAAAAAAAAGAAGAAGAAAUAUCAAGCCACCUUAAGAGAGAAAGGGCUCAUUUAUCAAAGCUUUAGGUUAUAGGUCAUCACUGUGGCGAAAUUAAGGCAUUAGGAACAUAUAGCAGCUAGACACAUACAGAGUUAAAAGCAGAAAGAAAAUGAAUGUAUGCAGGUUCCUGCUGUGCUAGCUUUUUUUACUUUUAUACAGUUCAGGAUCGCCUACCUAGGGAAUAGUGCCUCCCACAGUUGGCAGGUCUUCCCUCCAAAUUAAACUCAAUUAAAGUAAUCAAGAUAAUUCCUACAGACAGCCCAAAAGCCAAAUGUGGACAGACCAUCCUGACACUCUCUUCCCAAGGGAUUCUAAGUUGCAUAUAUACAUUCUCUAACCUAAUCCUCUGAUAUAGAACAUUCUAUUAAAUAUAUGGAGAAUAUAUUUUGGAGUACCAUGUAAGAAGUUUAAAUGGAAGUCAAAAUGGUAAAUAAUAUUGGCUUCUCAAAAUUACUGAGUUUUCUUUAUCUUCUUUAUUGGCUAAGCCAGUUGUUUUGUUUCUGUUUUCUCAUUUAUUGGUCUCUAUAGUGCCCACCUAAGAAGUAAUUUCUCACAGUUCUGGGUAAAAAGAAAUCUUCAGGUCAUCAAUACAGUUUAUUGCGUGAUGCAACUAACCAACAUGAAAUUCAAAAGCAGAAAAGAGAAAACCUGUGCAAGACAGCAUGUAGCCGUGAGCAAACAAUCACACUGUAGCCGUGAGCAGAUCCUCUCUGAACACUGAUUUCAGGCAGCCUCUUUUAUCAGAAAACAGGUGCUCCCUUAACAAGAAAACCCUGAAGGAAGUGAAAGGGUUACAAUUUUAGUUUUAGCAUAAUAAUUGUAAUAAUUUGUAUUUCAAGUUUUAUUUAUUUUUGUUCUUCCUUGUCUAAGUGAUCAGCAGUCUUCAAUGGUAUUAUAGUGUUGAGUUUUAUGUUUCCAGAGUAGAAAUAGCUUACUUAAAAAGUAAUUUUUUAUGCCUGUUUAGAUCCCAUGCUUUCUGUCUUGGCUGAAGAUGACUCUUGUAAGAAAUGGCCAGAGACUUGUAGCUUUAGAAUAUUCCUUCUCCCUGGGAGAGGAGUGAGAUUUGAGCAAGUGUUUGUGCUGCAUGGAGAAAAUGCUGUGCAUAUG
rnacentral:lncRNA from 1 species